UACGUAGGGCGCAAGCGUUGUCCGGAAUUAUUGGGCGUAAAGAGCUCGUAGGUGGCGUGUCGCGUCUGCCGUGAAAGCCCAUGGCUUAACUGUGGGUCUGCGGUGGAUACGGGCAGGCUGGAGGCUGGUAGGGGCAAGCGGAAUUCCUGGUGUAGCGGUGAAAUGCGUAGAUAUCUGGAGGAACACCGGUGGCGAAGGCGGCAUCCUGGACCAACACUGACACUGAGGAGCGAAAGCCAGGGGAGCAAACGGG
rnacentral:rRNA from 1 species